rnacentral:rRNA from 1 species
UACGUAGGUGGCGAGCGUUGUCCGGAUUUACUGGGCGUAAAGGGAGCGUAGGCGGACUUUUAAGUGAGAUGUGAAAUACUCGGGCUCAACUUGAGUGCUGCAUUUCAAACUGGAAGUCUAGAGUGCAGGAGAGGAGAAUGGAAUUCCUAGUGUAGCGGUGAAAUGCGUAGAGAUUAGGAAGAACACCAGUGGCGAAGGCGAUUCUCUGGACUGUGACUGGCGCUGAGGCUCGAAAGCGUGGGGAGCAAACAGG